rnacentral:lncRNA from 1 species
AGCAUGUGACAUAGUGCCUGACAAAUACUCAGUAAGUUGUAGGAGGUGCUAUUAUUACCAAUGUCAUCAUGAUUCAUACAUUUCUUUUCUCUCCACUUUGGCUUGACAUGUGGAUACAUGAGGCCGGUAGGAAGAAGUCACCCAUGACUAUCUGGAACAACAUGGUGGGGAAGGCCAAGUUUCUGGUCACUCUCCAUCUUUUCCGCCAGUGCCCAACGGACUGAUCUUUACAGAUGGUGUCAACAGAUGCAUCUACCCUCUGGCUUCAAGUUGAGUUGGCCAAUGAAGGGAGGCGCUGCGGAAAGCACAUGACAUUUGCAGUUGUGGGCGACUGUGCUGUGGGAUGAAACCAGGCUCCUCAUCAAGAUGAACAUAGAUUCAAGUCUCCAUCUUAGCCAUUUCCUAGAUCUGUGAUUAUAAAUAAACUCCCUG